rnacentral:tRNA from 1 species
GGGGUUGUGGCUCAGUGGUAGAGUGCUUGCGUAGCACAUAUGAGGCACUGGGUUCAAUCAUCAGCACCACA